AUAUUAUUAGAAUAUAUAUUAUUAGAAUUUUUUUUUUUAUUUUGAAUAAAUGCAGUUCUUUUUAACCUUUUAUUCAUCAAAUAUAUUAGACAGCAGAACUGUUUCCAACACUCAUAAUAAAUCAGAAUAUUAGAAUGAUUUCUAAAUGAUCAUGUGAUAGACUGGAUGUUACAUGUGACACUGAAGGCUGGAGUAAUGAUGCUGAAAAUUCAGCUUUGCAUCACAGGAAUAAAUUAUUUUUUUAAAAGUAUAUUCAAAUAGAAAACUAUUAUUUUAAGUUGUAAUAAUAUUUCACAAUAUUACUGUUUUUCUGUAUUUUUGAUCAAAUAAAUGCAGGCUUGAUGAGCAGAAGAAACUUCUUUCAAAAACAUUAAAAAUAGUAAUGUUUCCAAACUUUUGGUCUGUACUGUAUAUGUUUUACUAUCAGUGUGAAAAAUUUUCUCUAAAAAAAAAAAAGUGUUUCUCUCGAAAUGCUUUUCUUUGCUCUCGAUGCAAUUUCUUGCUCUCGUGUCAGGAUUUUGCUUUCACUGUGAGAAUUGUGUCAUGGGCGGGGUCACGUUCCUAUUGGCCAGUCGGGGGAGCAUCGUCUUGUCUUGGGAGUCGAACUGAAUCAUUACACUGUUGUUCGGUUCACCUGCAUAGAUGCCGCCUCUGCCUUAUGGCUAGUUUAGUUGAGCACGGACACUCCAAUGUUUGGUUCCAGAGGCCACCAGACAACUAUGAAUCUACUUCACCCAUCGAAGAGCCUUCUUUAUUUGCUCCUAACCUUUGGACCCUUUCUAGGUGGAAUGUCGAUCCCGGUUGCAGUAAACAUUGGGGAUACUGCGAUUUUCACUUGUAAUGAGACAUGUAAUGGACAUCUCUUGUGGACAUUCCGCACUAACAAUGAAAAUCUAGACGUUGUAAAAUGUGUCCAAGAGACUUGCACCAAAGGAGACAACUUUAAGAACAGAGUGAGCCUUAAGCCUGGAAAAAUGUCUCUAGCCCUGUAUCCUGUUCUGUACAAUGAUGAAGGCUGGUACAUUGUCAAAUGUGAUUCAGCGGUUGCCUGUAGAUUCCACUUAGAAGCUCUUGUACCAACUACUGUGAGCACCUCAGUCAGUAGCAAUGUCACACUACCCUGCUAUGCACGCACAGAGAAACAAAUCACUGAUGACACUGUGAAUAUCCUGUGGAAAAAAGAUGACCGAACGGUGUUACAAGUUCAAAAAGGAAUUACAACAUAUGGCUCAGGAUUUACAGGCAGGGUAUUAGUUUCACUGCACUAUUAUAAGGACGGAGAUCUUUCCCUUAACAUGGUCAGGGUCACCAUGUCAGAUAAGGGAUUGUACCGGUGCUAUCACAGAACUACAGAAGAACAGGGUUAUCCUGGUGCUGUUACUCUCAAUGUUACAGGUUGUUAAAUAUUACAUUUUUUACACUUUCUUUUUUCUCCUGUAAUAGAAAAAAAAAGUUUAACUAAAAGAGUGAAAUUCUUUCUUCAGCUGAUCAAAAGUUUUAUGCAAAAAAGUUUGGGGGAAAUCUCACCCUGGACCUGUUUGGCUCUGACCAUGUAAGGGUAACUUUCACCGUUCAUGAUGCAGAUGAGACGCCUGUUUGCAGUGUGACGGGAAACAAACCUACAUGCUCAUCUGAGUACACGCACAGAAUAUCUGUCAUAAAUGACUUCCUUGUGCUGCGCGAGUUAACGUCCACUGAUACAGGCACAUUUACUGUGAAAAAUGAGAUGGAUGAAGUCAUUGGUGUCAACACUGUCACUGUGGAGGGUAAGUUUGAAAUCAAACUAAUUUCAUUUUUUGUUGUUUAAUUUGUUCUUUUCAGUUUUAAUAAUUGGCUUUCGUUUGCAUUCAGAACUAAGUUCCUUUCUUUGUCAUGCACAGGUGUGACCCAGAGACAUCACUACAUAGCUCUGUCUGUGAUAAUUGGUUUCAUUCUCAUUUGCCUGUUCCUUUGCUGUCAGUGUUGUAGACAGUCACAAGCACAGCAGUAUCGCUGCAGUUAUAGUGCAAUACAGUCUAAUGUGAAUAUAAAUCCAGAACCGAUGAGAGAGCCUGCAUGCAUUGAAUUUUCACAAGAAGAAACCAACCCAGAGCCUGAAGUUCAUCUACACACACCUGUCGAGGAGACCAUGCCUGAGCCUGUGAGGACCACUGAGAAGCAAGACAACACUGAAGAGUAUAUUACGUGUGGAAUAGGAAUUAGAGAAACAAUUUAAGAAUACUUUAAGAGAACUGAAAAAAAAAAAAAAAAAAUCCUCCUCAAAUGUUCUUCCGCUGCUGUAUUAUAUGCUAUGAAAAAGAUGGCAUUAGAUUUAAUUGGAUAUUCUUUGAGCAACUGCAUAACUGUGCCAGUGAACAAUAUGUUAAACUUGAAGAGAAAUUGAUUAUAUUUUUUACUUCAGGA
ensembl:lncRNA